CACAAGAUUAUCGUUGUUAUG
rnacentral:siRNA from 1 species